rnacentral:misc_RNA from 1 species
GAUGAAGAACGUAGCAAAAUGCGAUAAGUAAUGUGAAUUGCAGAAUUCAGUGAAUCAUCGAAUCUUUGAACGCACAUUGCGCCCGCCAGUAUUCUGGCGGGCAUGCCUGUUCGAGCGUCAUUUCAACCCUCAAGCCCUCGGGUUUGGUGUUGGGGAUCGGCGAGCCUUUCUGGCAAGCCGGCCCCGAAAUCUAGUGGCGGUCUCGCUGCAGCCUCCAUUGCGUAGUAGUAAAACCCUCGCAACUGGAACGCGGCGCGGCCAAGUCGUUAAACCCCCAACUUCUGAAUGUUGACCUCGGAUCAGGUAGGAAUACCCGCUGAACUUAAGCAUAUCAAUAAGCGGAGGA